rnacentral:tRNA from 1 species
GUAAAUAAAGUUUAUUAAAACGUCAGACUGUGAAUCUGGAAACAGGGGAUAAAAUCCCCUUAUUUACC